rnacentral:lncRNA from 1 species
AGUAUUACUAAAUGCUUAUUUUGUCACAAAAUGUAAAAGUUUAACAAUUGAGUCCCUAAUAUUCCAAAUAUAUCUCACACGACAACUUAUUGACAACUAGUGAUUAACGAACAGAUACACAUAAUAAAUGCCUCCAAAAUUAAAUAAAAUUACUAACAACUUUCACUGUAUCCACUCCUUAAUUAUUGGUGAUUUUUUUUUUUUUUUUGUGGUCAAAGGUUUGAGCAAGCUCAAUCCUCAGACUUUGCAAUCAUAGACCAAUGUUUACAAAGUGUAGAAUUUGAGAGACUAUCUCAAAAUACUAAUGUUGUUCUAUAAGAGCUUAAGAGCCCUUUAAAAGCCACGAAUUACUCGGAAUCCACUGCAAGCAGCUCAUAGAUCACAUCCUUGAAUGCAAUGACGACCUCAAAAUACAUGAUUACUCUGUUUCUGAGAUGGCUGCCAACUCUUGAUGUAGACGUCGCCCUGCUAUACUUACCGUCUUUCUCUUUGAAGCUGUGGAGCUAAGAGGAUUAGGAGGUUUUGUCAAGUUGUCUCCUUCACCUUCCAGCAUCUGGACAACAAUUUUCAUGGAAGGACGGUCCACUGGGUUCCACUGGAUGCACCACAGUCCCACAAUGGCUAGCUUCUUCGCAAUUUCAGCUUCCCCUUCUUCCUCGAUGUGGAACCGCAGGUCUUCUCCUUCUUCUAAGAGAUUAUAAAUCCAUUCUGGGAAGUAUACUUGAUCACCAUUUUCUGCUGUAUCAUCAACAUUUUUCCUUCCACCAACCAUUUCUAACACCAACAUUCCAAAACUGUACACGUCUGCCUUGUAGGAGACAUUCCCAAAGUUUCUUGAGAACACUUCAGGUGCUAUGUAGCCUACGGUUCCCCUAACUCUUGUCAUGGAAACAACACUUUUAUACUUGGAACACAACUUAGCCAGACCGAAAUCUGCAAUCUUGGGAUUGAAGUCAUUGUCCAGCAGGAUAUUAUGCGGUUUGAUAUCAAAGUGGAGGAUUGUUUGGUCACAGCCCUGGUGAAGAUAUUCAAUCCCUUUGGCUACUCCGAGGGCAAUAUGAUGCAGUCUUUCCCAGCCAAGGAAAGCAUUCCUUGCGUUUGCUGAAGAUAUGAACUUCUGCAGCGAAUUGUUCGGCAAGUACUCGUAAACUAGAGCUCGCCUAAAUCCAUCAGCACAGAAGCCAAUCAAGCGGACUACAUUGACAUGGUGAAUCCUAGCCAUUGUUUCCAUCUCGUUGACGAAUUCCUCUCCUUUUUCUGAUGAAUUGCUUAGAACCUUAACAGCCACCGGAAUAUCACUGGUUAGCUUUCCUUUGAACACAGUUCCAUAAGCUCCUUGCCCCAAUUCAUCCCUGAAUUGAUUUGUCAUCUUUUUGAGAUCAGCAUGGGAGUAUCUUGUGGGGUUCAUAGCUCUGUAAUCAUCCAGAAACCUUUCAACCUUGGCCUGAUAUUCUUCUUCUGAUUUUCUGAAGCUAUAGAUUUGGUAGACUGCAAUCACCAAAACCCCGAAAAGGAUGGAUCCUGUGGUUACGCCUGCAUAUAUAAACAAGCCAUUUGAGUCAAGAGACAUGUUCUUUUUUGAAAGCAAUGUGUUGGAGCAAAUUUGAGAACAACUAACCUAAAGUCAGUCGCUUUUUCCAUGCACCUGUAGAAGAUAAGAACCCUUGUUAAGCUCUAAUUUUCUGAAAGUUUCUAAAGUCAUGAUAAUAUCCUCUAUUUGUAGAAUCAAGAUCGCUAAAUGCACAGGGAAACCAUAUGUCAGUCAACUCACUGGUAGAUAGGACUUAGGUGUUCAAGGACACUUGCAAUACAUUAAUCAAAGUGAGAUGUAGACUUAGUGAAGCAAGGAAUCAUAGAAAAUCAAGAUGCCAUGAACACAGAACAAUGAAAAGAAGACUUUAAGCUAAAGAUACCUUUUUCUGGUCUGGGCAAGCCAUAGCAUUCAGUAUCAAGCUCAGUGCUGCUAUUUUCCCUCAAUCCACAUAGUUUUCCUGUUGCUUCACAAGAUCCACAAUUGGGAUUGGACCAGGAGAGACGAAUAUCAUGUGGAACAGGUAGGUCGUACAUCUUGGUACAAGAUAAUAAUAACUCGCUGUCAUCAAUAGAUUGUUCUGAAUCAACGGCAAGAACGUCAUAGUGGAGAGUACUUAUUAGACAAGCGAUCCUAGACAGAUAUCUUGCUUUAUUUAAAGAACAAUUGAAGGUGGUAAAAUUGACCUUGGACAUCUUAAACUGUAUGUGAAACACAGACGAAUUGAAGUUGGAGUGUUGGCUUAGAAGGCAAGCUUGGGGAUCUCUUGCAUAAAUAACUUGAUUUUUGUAGUCAAUCUUUUCUAUGUGGAGCUUCACUGCAGCUGGCAGCUCGAGCACUAUAUCGCCCAUCUCAUUACAAGACAGAUCAAAACCAGAAUAGCCACACUGUUCUGGCUGCCUAUCCUUGAUCCAGAAUGGAAAUCGGAUGUCGUGGUUCCCACAAGAUCCUGUGCAAUUUAGACUCACUCCAAGUUCUGCAAUGAACAUGAAAUAGAACAAGCAUAUAGCCUUUUUUGUUGAACCUCUCAUCAUUGCCUCCUAUGGUGAUAGAGUUUCGACCUAACAGUAUCUAGAUAUUGCAGAAACAACAGUAAACUCAGAUCGGAGCAGCAAUGGUAACUCUGAUACCUUCUUUUUAUGACACCUGAAGGGUAACUCUGAUACCUUCGUUUUAAUACCUUCGUUUUACUUGCCUAGAUUAAGUACUCAGAAUUGACCUCUCUUGCGUUCAAUGUAGUUCCAUGUCCACAAGGAUUAUUGCACCCUCACUUUCACAAAUUAUUGCCAAGAAGGUUAUCAUGUUAUCUAUUAUAUGUUGACGUUUGUGGUGUUGAGAGUUGAUGGAUUUGUGGUUUACAUCAAAGUAAUCUUUGAUAUUUCAAAGGAUGACUUGGUAAGUUUAAUAUACUGAAGAAACUCUUGCAUUGAAAAUCUAGCUUUAUGUGGUGAGGUAUCUAUAUAUGAUUUAUAUUAUUUUUUAAUAUAUAUGUUAAAUUAGAAGUCUUUUGGACUUAAAACUUGUAAAGACUCGCACUACCUUGUACUUAAUUUUUAUUAAAUAAAUAGGAAUGGUGAGAUUCAAAUUAUUGUUAAGUUUAUCAUAUUGUCUAUAUGUUGAUGCUUGUGGUGUUGAGAGUUGAUGGAUUUGUGUUUGGUCACAACCCUGGUGAAGAUAUUCAAUCCCUUUGGCUACUCCGAGGGCAAUAUGAUGCAGCCUUUCCCAGCCAAGGAAAACAUUCUUGGCGUUUGCUGAAGAUAUGAACUUCUGCAGCGAAUCGUUUGGCAAGUACUCGUAAACCAGAGCUCGUCUAAAUCCAUCAGCACAGAAGCCAAUCAAGCGGACUACAUUGACAUGGUGAAUCCUAGCCAUUGUUUUCAACUCGGCAAAGUAAUCCUAUCGCCUAACGGAACCCAUGUUUAGUAUUGUCUAGAUGUUGACACUUGUGGUGUUGGGAGUUGAUGAAUUUGUGGUUUAUAUCAAAGUAUUCUUUGCUUCAUUAUUUUUACUUGGACAUUUCAAAGGAUGACUUAGUCAUUUUAAUACGCUAAUGAAACAUUCUCAUUGAAAAACUGGCCUUUAGGUUUUAUCUUCUUCCAUGUUUCUCUUUCUAUGGUAAAAAAAACUGUUUAAUUUAAAAGGUUAAAUUGUUAUAUAAAUUUUUAAUAUAUAAUUUGUAUUAUUUUUUAAUAUAUAUGUGAAAGAUUUUUCAGCUUAAAAUUUAAAUAGAUUUACACUACUUUAUAUUUAAUUUUUAUUAAAUAAAUAGGAAUGACGAGAUUUAAAUUUAUAACCCUUUAUCAUCAAGAAUUUGAUACCAUAUCAAAAACUCAACUCAACUACAAAAUUUAAACUGAUAGGUUAAAUUAUAAAAUAUAAUUUAUAUUAUUAUUUAAUAUUACUGCUCUAACUGUUGUUUUUAAAGACUUGAUGGAUUGUUUAUGGACUACACCCUCUUUCUCCACCCAUGGCUAGGCUCCUCUUUGCUUGCUACCUUGCCUUACUGCUCCCUCUGCUAGCCCCCCAAACCUGCAACUGCGAGGAUACCACUCUCUGUGCCCCUUCUUCAUGUGGCAAUCAUACUAUUAGCUACCCCUUUAGCCUAAACAGUAGUGAUCCAUUAAACUGUGGAAACCCUCUCUAUACCCUCCACUGCGAGAAAAACACCUCCACAUUUUUGCAUUUAGACUCACGAAAAUACUACGUGCAGGCAAUCAACUACAACAACUUGACAAUCCGAGUGGUUGAUGCUGGUGUUACACAAAAUGAUUGCUCUUCUCUUCCUCAUUUUUCUUUAGCAUUUGAUAGCCUAGGCAAUUCCAGAAGGGCAUUUAAUACAUUUACUUUAACAUUUGAUAGCUUAGAUUAUAUGAGAUUUCCAUAUACAUGGUUUCAAUACAAAAGGACAGGGCCGAAAUGGUUUCCCAAAUACAAGCCUCUCCCGUUAUCGCAGAAGAUGAUUUUUAUAAACUGUGCAAAUCCAGUGAAUUCUCCGCUGUACAUAGAAACCGGUACUUGCCUUAAUGGAGUAUUGUUUUGGAGUGUCCAAAGUUGUUUUUCAAAAUAGUUUUUUUUAGAAAAUACAUUAAAAUAAUAUUUUUUAUUUUUAAAAUAUUAUUUUUAAUAUCAAUAUAUUAAAAUAUCUAAACAUAUAAAAAAAAAUUAAUUUAAAACAAAAAAAAAUAAAAUUUUUCAAAAACAUGGCACCACAACCCAAGACACCAACUAAGAGUCCUAAAAUAGGAUCAUCAUAAAGUUUGAGAAAUACAAUUUAAGAACUAAUCUAGCAAGCAAAUACAGUUUCAUCCCCAUAUUUUCAAUCAAAUGCAUGUUAAUCUUUUAUUUGUGUAAUAAGCCGCGAAUUACUCGGAAUCCACUGUAGGCAGCAGCUCAUAGAUCACAGCCUUGAAAGCAAUGAUGACCUCAAAAUAUAUGAUUACUCUGUUUCUGAGAUGGCUGCCAGCUCUUGAUGAAGAUGCCUCCUUAGCAUACCUGUAUUCGUUCUCUUUGGAGCUGUGGAGCUAAGAGGAUUAGGAGGUGUACUUAACCUGUCUCCUUUCCCUUCCAGCAUCUGGACAACGAUUUUCAUGGAAGGACGGUCCACUGGGUUCCACUGGAUGCACCACAGUCCCACAAUGGCUAGCUUCUUCGCAAUUUCAGCAUCCCCUUCUUCCUCGAUGUGGAACCGCAGGUCUUCUCCUUCUUCUAUGAGAUUAUAAAUCCAUUCUGGGAAGUAUACUUGAUCACCAUUUUCUGCUGCUUCAUCAACAUUUUUCCUUCCACCAACCAUUUCUAACACCAACAUUCCAAAACUGUACACGUCUGCCUUGUAGGAGACAUUCCCAAAGUUUCUUGAGAACACUUCAGGUGCUAUGUAGCCGACGGUUCCCAGAGCUGUUGUCAUGGAAAUAGCACUUUUAUACUUGGAACACAACUUAGCCAGACCGAAAUCUGCAAUCUUGGGAUUGAAGUCAUUGUCCAGCAGGAUAUUAUGCGGUUUGAUGUCAAAGUGGAGGAUUGUUUGGUCACAACCCUGGUGAAGAUAUUCAAUCCCUUUGGCUACUCCGAGGGCAAUAUGAUGCAUCCUUUCCCAGCCAAGGAAAACAUUCUUGGCGUUUGCUGCAGAUAUGAACUUCUGCAGCGAAUCGUUUGGCAAAUACUCGAAAACCAGAGCUCGUCUAAAUCCAUCAGCACAGAAGCCAAUCAAGCGGACUACAUUGACAUGGUGAAUCCUAGCCAUUGUUCCCAUCUCGUUGACGAAUUCCUCUCCUUUUUCUGAUGAAUUGCUUAGAACCUUAACAGCCACCGGAAUCUCACUGGUUAGCUUUCCUUUGAACACAGUUCCAUAAGCUCCUUGCCCCAAUUCAUCCCUGAAUUGAUUUGUCAUCUUUUUGAGAUCAGCAUGGGAGUAUCUUGUGGGGUUCAUAGCUCUGUAAUCAUCCAAAAACCUUUCAACCUUGGCCUGAUAUUCCUCUUCUGAUUUUCUGAAGCUAUAGAUUUGGUAGACUGCAAUCACCAAAACCCCGAAAAG